AUUGAACGCUGGCGGCAUGCUUUACACAUGCAAGUCGAACGGCAGCGCGGGGCAACCUGGCGGCGAGUGGCGAACGGGUGAGUAAUAUAUCGGAACGUACCCAGAAGUGGGGGAUAACGUAGCGAAAGUUACGCUAAUACCGCAUACGAUCUACGGAUGAAAGUAGGGGACCGCAAGGCCUUAUGCUUUUGGAGCGGCCGAUAUCUGAUUAGCUAGUUGGUGAGGUAAAGGCUCACCAAGGCGACGAUCAGUAGCUGGUCUGAGAGGACGACCAGCCACACUGGAACUGAGACACGGUCCAGACUCCUACGGGAGGCAGCAGUGGGGAAUUUUGGACAAUGGGCGCAAGCCUGAUCCAGCAAUGCCGCGUGAGUGAAGAAGGCCUUCGGGUUGUAAAGCCCUUUUGUCAGGGAAGAAACGGUAGAGGCUAAUAUCCUUUGCUAAUGACGGUACCUGAAGAAUAAGCACCGGCUAACUACGUG
rnacentral:rRNA from 1 species